rnacentral:rRNA from 1 species
CGACGUNAGGAACCUGCCUUUCAGAGGGGGACAACAGUUGGAAACGACUGCUAAUACCGCAUAAUAUAUGUUUGUCGCAUGGCAGAUAUAUCAAAGAUUUAUCGCUGAGAGAUGGCCUCGCGUCUGAUUAGCUAGUUGGUAGGGUAAUGGCCUACCAAGGCGACGAUCAGUAGCCGGACUGAGAGGUUGGCCGGCCACAUUGGGACUGAGAUACGGCCCAGACUCCUACGGGAGGCAGCAG